AGUGGGGAAUAUUGGACAAUGGGCGGAAGCCUGAUCCAGCCAUGCCGCGUGAGUGAAGAAGGCCUUCGGGUCGUAAAGCUCUUUCAGAUGCGAAGAUGAUGACGGUAACAUCAGAAGAAGCCCCGGCUAAUUUCGUGCCAGCAGCCGCGGUAAUACGAAAGGGGCAAGCGUUGUUCGGAUUUACUGGGCGUAAAGGGCACGCAGGCGGUCUUGCCAGUCAGGGGUGAAAGCCCGGGGCUCAACCCCGGAACUGCCUCUGAUACUGCAGGACUAGAGACUAGGAGAGGGUGGUGGAAUUCCCAGUGUAGAGGUGAAAUUCGUAGAUAUUGGGAGGAACACCAGAGGCGAAGGCGGCCACCUGGACUAGAUCUGACGCUCAGGUGCGAAAGCGUGGGGAGCAAACAGGAUUAGAUACCCUGGUAGUCCACGCCGUAAACGAUGAGUGCUAGUUGUCGGGAUUUCGAUUUCGGUGACGCAGCUAACGCAUUAAGCACUCCGCCUGGGGAGUACGGUCGCAAGAUUA
rnacentral:rRNA from 1 species